ensembl:lncRNA
CAGACCUCUUUUGAUGAUGGCUGGGCUGUGGUAGGCAAUUUCUACACACUGGUAUUGCAGAACCUUCCAGAAGUGGAGAUGAUUUCAAAAUGUUUCAGUGCUCGAGCAGUAAUUUGUGAAUGAUGGAGCUGCUGUUCUCUUAAACGGCUCUCCUGUGCUGUGCCUGUAGACUAAUAUGGAUCGCUCACAUUGGUGCUUCCCAUAAAUUAAGGAACAAUACCCCUGGAGCAACCUGGGCUUACGUGUGUUGCUCAAGGCCACUGUGGCGGUGUCUUGUGAAACCAUACUAACAUGUGCUCAUGCUGAAACAGAAGGAGGGCUUUCAGAACCAACAUGGUCUGGAAUACCUGGAUAGUCCCCAUUCAUCUCAAUGUCAGUUUGUUGGCUGGCGCAGGAACCCUCAGAAGUAUGUGACCUGCUUUCUGCCAUC